rnacentral:rRNA from 1 species
CCGUAGCGUCAGAGAGUUUGAGUCCUGGCUCGAGGAGUGAACGGCGUGGCGGCGGUGCUUAACACAUGCAAGUCGAGCGGAGGCACAUCGUUGGAAGUACCUCGGAGGAGAAGGUGUGGCGUAGCGGCGGACGGGUGAGUAACGCGUGGACAACCUGCCCUAUGCAGGGGGAGUAACAUCCGGAAACGGGUGCUAUACCGCAUAAGCGCGCAGUACCGCAUGGUACGGUGUGAAAAGCUGAGGCGGCAUAGGAUGGGUCCGCGUUGGAUUAGGCAGUUGCGGGGUAACGGCCCACCAAACCGACGAUCCAUAGCCGGCCUGAGAGGGUGGACGGCCACAUUGGGACUGAGACACGGCCCAGACUCCCACGGGAGGCAGCAGUGGGGAAUAUUGCACAAGUGGGGGGAACCCUGAUGCAGCGACGCCGCGUGGGUGAGGAAGUACUUCGGUAUGUAAAGCCCUAUCAGCAGGGAAGAAAAUGACGGUACCUGACUAAGAAGCCCCGGCUAACUACGUG